GCCCCGUUAGUGUAGCGGCCUAACACGCCACCCUUUCAAGGUGGAGAUCACGAGUUCGAAUCUCGUACGGGGUACCA
rnacentral:tRNA from 3 species